AGGCAGGUCAGCAGGAGAAGGACCAUAGGUCAGGGAGUGUUUGGUUUCAGGGAGAUCGUUGGGGAGGAGUUCAUGACCAUGUUCCUGUCAGUUUUUAGAAGUAUGGUUCAGAGACUGGUUUAGGAGGAUGUAGAAAGAACGAUGUUCAUACAAUUCAGUGCAGCAUCAACAGGCGUGUUCCUAAAUUUUGAUGAUUAUUAUAGUGAAAGAGAGAGGAUAUGGUGACCGAAAGUCUAUGUGUUUGUGUCAUGUACGUGUCGGGCAGUGGUAGAUUAAAGAUAUUUUGUAAUGGGACUUGGCAAGGGAUAGAGACUGGCAUGAUUUUUUUUAUUGAGCAGCGAAUUGGCGCAACCCUUCGUGAUUUUUAAAGUUUGGACAGAGUUAUAAACCAUUUGCCGCCUAAUCCAUAGAUUAUUGGAGGAUCAAGAUGGUGGCCAUCAGGGUUCCCGUCACCGUGCAUGCCAAGCUUGAGCUCCUCAAGAACGCCACCAAGCUGGCGUGUAAUGGAUGAUGGCUGAUGCAACGGUGGAGGCGUAUUGAUGUCAGUUUGAAGCAAAUCAGGAGAACGCCACCAUCGGUUAGGUUGCCAGGUGAAGGAAUUGCAGCGGACUGGUGGCGAGGCUUUUCAACUCACCACCGUUUGAGUUUAUCAUCUGUCACUACUGCACCCACUAGCCGUAUCCAUGUUUGCAUAUUCUCCAGCCCAUUGAAUAAUCCACGGUAAGUGGUUAGGAGCUACAUAUUUUCCACUUUUGCCAUGUUUCAUAUACCAAACUAAUAUAUUCUUUGACAUGAAAAUAGAUUCCGAUCUUCUGGUCUUGCCUACUGUUUACUUAUUCAAAUUGAUUCAGUUUUCCGUUCGUGUGCAUUAGUCAUAUUAUAAGUUGUUGCACGCUGCCGUAAUCUGCCCGGAGCCACGCAACCUCUGUCCUAAUGGCACGCCAUCGCUUAUAAUUCUGGCUCCACUUCCUCUAGGCAGCAUUGUCGUUGAAACCCAUAAUAUGAGAGACAGUUUAGUUAUCGAUGGUAGUUGGAUGCUGCUAUGGAGGAAUAAAAGGAACAUUGUGAUUACAGGCACAUUUUGGAUAAUAGCAGGAAGGAGCUGCUGGAACUAACUAAUGCUAGAAAGUAAUUUCUUGAUCUAUUUACUCACAUACACAAGUAGUUGUUGAGAUAAAGCAAUACGUUUUCUGGGCCCAAGUAGCAUUUACAUUAAUAGUGAUUUUUGUGAGAAGAAAAAUAGUAUAGGCUGAUUCCUAUUAUUACAGUACCAACUUAACUCAGAAACAGAGAAGCACCAAGCUGGACUGCUGGCCGGGGAGAUGCAUAUGUGGGCACUUUCUGCUGGCCAAGUUCAGAAGCAAAUUAACUGCUUAUAUUUGCAUAAGCAACAGAGAGGAAAUGUUACAGAACUUAGCAAAAAAUGGUAUUCGAGGCUUAUAGUGCGUUGCACUUUCUGCUGUAAGACAUCCAUUGUUAGUGUG